rnacentral:rRNA from 1 species
UGGUAGUCCACGCUGUAAACGAUGUCGAUUUGAAGGUUGUUCCCUUGAGGAGUGGCUUUCGGAGCUAACGCGUUAAAUCGACCGCCUGGGGAGUACGGCCGCAAGGUUAAAACUCAAAUGAACUGACGGGGGCCCGCACAAGCGGUGGAGCAUGUGGUUUAAUUCGAUGCAACGCGAAGAACCUUACCUACUCUUGACAUCCAGAGAACUUAGCAGAGAUGCUUUGGUGCCUUCGGGAACUCUGAGGCAGGUGCUGCAUGGCUGUCGUCAGCUCGUGUUGUGAAGUGUUGGGUUAAGUCCCGCAACGAGCGCAACCCUUAUCCUUUGUUGCCAGCGAUUCGGUCGGGAACUCAAAGGAGACUGCCGGUGAUAAACCGGAGGAAGGUGGGGAUGACGUCAAGUCAUCAUGGCCCUUACGAGUAGGGCUACACACGUGCUACAAUGGCGUAUACAAAGAGAAGCGACCUCGCGAGAGCAAGCGGAACUCAUAAAGUACGUCGUAGUCCGGAUUGGAGUCUGCAACUCGACUCCAUGAAGUCGGAAUCGCUAGUAAUCGUAGAUCAGAAUGCUACGGUGAAUACGUUCCCGGGCCUUGUACACACCGCCCGUCACACCAUGGGAGUGGGUUGCAAAAGAAGUAGGUAGCUUAACCUUCGGGAGGGCGCUUACCACUUUGUGAUUCAUGACUGGGGUGAAGUCGUA